rnacentral:rRNA from 1 species
UGUUCUAACGUGGAUCCGUAAUCCGGGUUGCGGACAGUGUCUGGUGGGUAGUUUGACUGGGGCGGUCUCCUCCUAAAGAGUAACGGAGGAGCACGAAGGUUGGCUAAUCCUGGUCGGACAUCAGGAGGUUAGUGCAAUGGCAUAAGCCAGCUUGACUGCGAGCGUGACGGCGCGAGCAGGUGCGAAAGCAGGUCAUAGUGAUCCGGUGGUUCUGAAUGGAAGGGCCAUCGCUCAACGGAUAAAAGGUACUCCGGGGAUAACAGGCUGAUACCGCCCAAGAGUUCAUAUCGACGGCGGUGUUUGGCACCUCGAUGUCGGCUCAUCACAUCCUGGGGCUGAAGUAGGUCCCAAGGGUAUGGCUGUUCGCCAUUUAAAGUGGUACGCGAGCUGGGUUUAGAACGUCGUGAGACAGUUCGGUCCCUAUCUGCCGUGGGCGCUGGAGAACUGAGGGGGGCUGCUCCUAGUACGAGAGGACCGGAGUGGACGCAUCACUGGUGUUCGGGUUGUCAUGCCAAUGGCACUGCCCGGUAGCUAAAUGCGGAAGAGAUAAGUGCUGAAAGCAUCUAAGCACGAAACUUGCCCCGAGAUGAGUUCUCCCUGAGACUUAGAGUCUCCUGAAGGAACGUUGAAGACGACGACGUUGAUAGGCCGGGUGUGUAAGCGCAGCGAUGCGUUGAGCUAACCGGUACUAAUGAACCGUGAGGCUUAACCUU